GUCUGAAAUACAGUGAUGUUUUCUUUUCCAAGCACAGAUCUGAUUGCCGCGUGUGAAAAAUGACUGUUGCUGAGUGAUUUGGGG
rfam:Chaetura pelagica isolate M959 contig17159, whole genome shotgun sequence.